rnacentral:rRNA from 1 species
UACAGAGGUCCCGAGCGUUGUUCGGAUUCACUGGGCGUAAAGGGUGCGUAGGUGGCUGGGAAAGUUUGAUGUGAAAGCUCAGGGCUUAACCCUGAAAUGGCAUUGAAUACUACUUAGCUGGAGGUUUGGAGGGGGGACUGGAAUUCUUGGUGUAGCAGUGAAAUGCGUAGAUAUCAAGAGGAACACCAGUGGCGAAGGCGAGUCCCUGGACAACACCUGACACUGAGGCGCGAAAGCGUGGGGAGCAAACAGG